GCCGCGUGAGUAGAUGAAGGUUUUCGGAUCGUAAAGCUCUGUUGUUAGGGAAGAACAAGUGCGAGAGUAACUGCUCGCACCUUGACGGUACCUAACCAGAAAGCCACGGCUAACUACGUGCCAGCAGCCGCGGUAAUACGUAGGUGGCAAGCGUUGUCCGGAAUUAUUGGGCGUAAAGGGCUCGCAGGCGGUUUCUUAAGUCUGAUGUGAAAGCCCCCGGCUCAACCGGGGAGGGUCAUUGGAAACUGGGAAACUUGAGUGCAGAAGAGGAGAGUGGAAUUCCACGUGUAGCGGUGAAAUGCGUAGAGAUGUGGAGGAACACCAGUGGCGAAGGCGACUCUCUGGUCUGUAACUGACGCUGAGGAGCGAAAGCGUGGGGAGCGAACAGGAUUAGAUACCCUGGUAGUCCACGCCGUAAACGAUGAGUGCUAAGUGUUAGGGGGUUUCCGCCCCUUAGUGCUGCAGCUAACGCAUUAAGCACUCCGCCUGGGGAGUACGGUCGCAAGACUGAAACUCAAAGGAAUUGACGGGGGCCCGCACAAGCGGUGGAGCAUGUGGUUUAAUUCGAAGCAACGCGAAGAACCUUACCAGGUCUUGACAUCCUCUGACAACCCUAGAGAUAGGGCUUUCCCUUCGGGGACAGAGUGACAGGUGGUGCAUGGUUGUCGUCAGCUCGUGUCGUGAGAUGUUGGGUUAAGUCCCGCAACGAGCGCAACCCUUGAUCUUAGUUGCCAGCAUUCAGUUGGGCACUCUAAGGUGACUGCCGGGUGACAAACCGGAGGAAGGUGGGGAUGACGUCAAAUCAUCAUGCCCCUUAUGACCUGGGGCUACACACGUGCUACAAUGGACAGAACAAAGGGCCUGCAAAGACCGGCAAGGGUUUAGCCAAUCCCAUAAAUUCUGUUCUCASUUCSGAAUC
rnacentral:rRNA from 2 species